rnacentral:rRNA from 1 species
UACGGAAGGGGCAAGCGUUGUUCGGAAUCAUUGGGCGUAAAGGGCGCGUAGGUGGUUCUGUAUGUCUACCGUGAAAGCGUACGGCUCAACCGUAUUUUGUCGGUGGAAACUGCAGGACUUGAGGCUGGGAGGGGCUGGUGGAAUUCCCUGUGUAGCGGUGAAAUGCGUAGAGAUGGGGGAGAACACUCGUGGCGAAGGCGGCCAGCUAGACCAGUUCUGACACUGAGGCGCGAAAGCCAGGGGAGCGAACGGG